GAUGAACGCUGGCGGCGUGCCUAAUACAUGCAAGUCGAACGCAUUGUGGUUGAAAUGAUAUGAAGAACUUGUUCAGAUUUGAUUUUCAACAUUGCAAUGAGUGGCGAACGGGUGAGUAACACGUGGGAAACCUACCUCUUAGCAGGGGAUAACAUUUGGAAACAAAUGCUAAUACCGUAUAAUAAUUAAAACCGCAUGGUUUUAGUUUAAAAGAUGGUCUUGCUAUCACUAAGAGAUGGUCCCGCGGUGUAUUAGUUAGUUGGUGAGGUAAUGGCUCACCAAGACAAUGAUACAUAGCCGAGUUGAGAGACUGACCGGCCACAAUGGGACUGAGACACGGCCCAUACUCCUACGGGAGGCAGCAGUAGGGAAUCUUCCACAAUGGACGAAAGUCUGAUGGAGCAACGCCGCGUGUGUGAUGAAGGUUUCGGCUCGUAAAACACUGUUGUAAGAGAAGAAUGACAUUGAGAGUAACUGUUCAAUGUGUGACGGUAUCUUACC
rnacentral:rRNA from 1 species